GGUUGUUACUGUAGGAAAUGAUUGUUAGCAAUGCAUUCAUGCCCCCUUUUGAAAUGGUGUUAAUGGAUUGCACGUGAAUUGAUGUAUGCUGGUUGAAAAAUAUGUAUUGCUUGGUCUUGUUAUGUAAAUUUGGUCUGCAACUGUCAUAGAAGUAAAAGUAUGUUAUGUUAAUGUGCACGAAGUUUGCCAUGUAAUGCUAUGUACUAAUGCUUUGGUGUACAUGUUUCUUCAUUGAAAUUUAUAAUUAUGAUAAUUAUGGUUAACUGUUUGUUGAAAAUGCUAUGCUAAUCGGUUAGUUGCUGGUGUUACAAAUGCAAUGUUUAAUGAUAGUUGGUGAUUUGGGAGUUGUUAGUUUGUGUAUGUAUGUAUAUUGAAUUGUGUAUGUAUAUGUGUAUGCAAUUUGAUUUUCUUUAUACUUGCUUGGUAUGCAUGAUGAAUUUUGAAAUGCAUUGCAUGUUGGGGCUGUCAUGACUAGGCUUGGAUUUAGAUGUUCAAUAUUGUUCAAACUUCAUGUUUCCUUAGUGAUUAUACUUGAAGAUUGAAUAGGUAGUUUUUUUUCUUUUUAACUGUGAAAGUGUUGUUCAUCUCACUUUCAUUCUAAAGGAACAAGAUUUCUCCCAUAAAAUGAUUGAACGAACUCUAAUAUAGUUAUAGGUAUACUUAUAGGUAUAUUGUAAUAGAAAAAGUUUGAUUCUUGUAAUAUAAAAAAUGAAAGUGAUGAGGUAAUUAAAGUUGGUAUAUUGGCGUAUCGGAUACGUUAUUGAAGUUUAUAUUAACAUUGGUUAUGUAUAGGUUUUUGAAGUUUAAAAUGAAUUGAACUUUAUAAUUGUUAGGAUAUUCAAAGAUACUACCUUAGUUAUGUAUUUUCGUCUGGAUUAAUUGUUUACUUUAAUAAGUAGGAAAACCAUGGAUAAAACAUGGAUCUGUGCCGAUCGAAU
rnacentral:lncRNA from 1 species